rnacentral:sRNA from 1 species
AUUGUGAUGAACUUUUACACAGACCUGUACUGAAUAGACUCAUGCGGAAAAAUGU